rnacentral:rRNA from 1 species
UACGGGGGGGGCAAGCGUUGUUCGGAAUUACUGGGCGUAAAGGGCUCGUAGGCGGCCAACUAAGUCGGAUGUGAAAUCCCCAGGCUUAACCUGGGAACUGCAUCCGAUACUGGAUGGCUUGAAUCCGGGAGAGGGAUGCAGAAUUCCAGGUGUAGCGGUGAAAUGCGUAGAUAUCUGGAGGAAUACCGGUGGCGAAGGCGGCAUCCUGGACCGGCAUUGACGCUGAUGAGCGAAAGCCAGGG